rnacentral:misc_RNA from 1 species
GGUAAGAGCACUCUGCAGGCC